CCUACGGGAGGCAGCAGUGAGGAAUAUUGGUCAAUGGACGCAAGUCUGAACCAGCCAUGCCGCGUGCAGGAAGACGGCUCUAUGAGUUGUAAACUGCUUUUGUACGAGGGUAAACGCAGAUACGCGUAUCUGUCUGAAAGUAUCGUACGAAUAAGGAUCGGCUAACUCCGUGCCAGCAGCCGCGGUAAUACGGAGGAUUCAAGCGUUAUCCGGAUUUAUUGGGUUUAAAGGGUGCGUAGGCGGUCGGAUAAGUUAGAGGUGAAAUCCCGAGGCUCAACUUCGGAAUUGCCUCUGAUACUGUUAGGCUAGAGAGUAGUUGCGGUAGGCGGAAUGUAUGGUGUAGCGGUGAAAUGCUUAGAGAUCAUACAGAACACCGAUUGCGAAGGCAGCUUACCAAGCUACGUCUGACGUUGAGGCACGAAAGCGUGGGGAGCAAACAGGAUUAGAUACCCAAGUAGUC
rnacentral:rRNA from 1 species